CAUAGGUUAAUGAGGCGAACCGGGGGAACUGAAACAUCUAAGUACCCCGAGGAAAAGAAAUCAACCGAGAUUCCCCCAGUAGCGGCGAGCGAACGGGGAGGAGCCCAGAGCCUGAAUCAGCAUGUGUGUUAGUGGAAGCGUCUGGAAAGGCGCGCGAUACAGGGUGACAGCCCCGUACACAAAAGCGCAUGUGCUGUGAGCUCGAUGAGUAGGGCGGGACACGUGGUAUCCUGUCUGAAUAUGGGGGGACCAUCCUCCAAGGCUAAAUACUCCUGACUGACCGAUAGUGAACCAGUACCGUGAGGGAAAGGCGAAAAGAACCCCGGCGAGGGGAGUGAAAAAGAACCUGAAACCGUGUACGUACAAGCAGUGGGAGCCCCACCACCAAAGCAUUCUCUGGUGUUGAAGGCCCUGCAAAGCAGCAUCGCGGUGGCGGAGCGUCGUUUGCGACGCCCAACACACAAAACAAGCGGUGAGUGCUUUGGGGUGGGGUGACUGCGUACCUUUUGUAUAAUGGGUCAGCGACUUAUAUUCUGUAGCAAGGUUAACCGAAUAGGGGAGCCGCAGGGAAACCGAGUCUUAAU
rnacentral:rRNA from 1 species